rnacentral:rRNA from 1 species
GACGAACGCUGGCGGCGCGCUUAAUACAUGCAAGUCGAGCGAGAACCAGGGCUUCGGCCCUGGGGACAGCGGCGAACGGGUGAGUAACACGUGGGUAGUCAACCCCCGACACCGGGAUAGCCCAGGGAAACUUGGAUUAAUACCGGAUGCCCCAUCUGGCUUUCGAGCCGGCUGGAAAAGGGUAGCUUCGGCCUCCGGUCGGGGACGAGCCCGCGGCGGAUUAGCUUGUUGGUGAGGUAAAGGCUCACCAAGGCGACGAUCCGUAGCUGGUCUGAGAGGACGAUCAGCCACACUGGGACUGAGACACGGCCCAGACUCCUACGGGAGGCAGCAGUAGGGAAUCUUGCGCAAUGGGCGAAAGCCUGACGCAGCGACGCCGCGUGAGGGAAGAAGGCCUUCGGGUUGUAAACCUCUUUCAGGAGGGACGAAGCCACUCGGGUUAAUAGCCCAGAGGGUGACGGUACCUCCAGAAGAAGCCCCGGCUAACUACGUGCCAGCCGCCGCAGUAACAC